CCUACGGGUGGCAGCAGUGAGGAAUAUUGGUCAAUGGGCGAGAGCCUGAACCAGCCAAGUCGCGUGAGCGAUGACGGCCCUAUGGAUUGUAAACUUCUUUAGCCGGGGCGCAAUUGAGUGCACGUGUGCCCGGAGCGAGAGUACCCGAAGUACAAGCAUCGGCUAACUCCGUGCCAGCAGCCGCGGUAAUACGGGGGAUGCGAGCGUUAUCCGGAUUUCUUGGGUUUAAAGGGUGCGUAGGCGGAAUUUUAAGUCAGCGGGAAAACGUCGGGGCUCAACCCGGUCCGGCCGUUGAAACUGGGGUUCUUGAGUGGGCGAGAAGUAGGCGGAAUGCGUGGUGUAGCGGUGAAAUGCAUAGAUAUCACGCAGAACUCCGAUUGCGAAGGCAGCAUACCGGCGCCCGACUGACGCUGAGGCACGAAAGCGUGGGGAUCGAACAGGAUUAGAUACCCCAGUAGUC
rnacentral:rRNA from 1 species